rnacentral:rRNA from 1 species
ACGUUAGCGGCGGACGGGUGAGUAACACGUGGGUAACCUACCUAUAAGACUGGGAUAACUUCGGGAAACCGGAGCUAAUACUGGAUAAUAUUUCGAACCGCAUGGUUCGAUAGUGAAAGAUGGUUUUGCUAUCACUUAUAGAUGGACCCGCGCCGUAUUAGCUAGUUGGUAAGGUAACGGCUUACCAAGGCGACGAUACGUAGCCGACCUGAGAGGGUGAUCGGCCACACUGGAACUUAGACACGGUCCAGACUCCUACGGGAGGCAGCAUAU